rnacentral:rRNA from 1 species
UACGUAGGGUGCGAGCGUUGUCCGGAAUUACUGGGCGUAAAGAGCUCGUAGGUGGUUUGUCGCGUUGUCCGUGAAAACUCACAACUCAAUUGUGGGCGUGCGGGCGAUACGGGCAGACUGGAGUACUGCAGGGGAGACUGGAAUUCCUGGUGUAGCGGUGGAAUGCGCAGAUAUCGGGAGGAACACCCGUAGCGAAGGCGGUUCUCUGGGCCAAUACUGGACGCUGAGGAGCGAAAGCGUGGGGAGCAAACAGGG